rnacentral:rRNA from 1 species
GAUGAACGCUGGCGGCGUGCCUAACACAUGCAAGUCGAACGGAGUCCAGCCUUUAAGACCUUCGGGUCAAAGAGGGGAAGACUGAGUGGCGGACGGGUGAGUAACACGUGGGCAACCUGGCUCAUAGAGGGGGAUAACAGAGAGAAAUUUCUGCUAAUACCGCAUAAGCACACACUGCCGCAUGGCAGAGGGUGAAAAGAGAAUCGCUAUGAGAUGGACCCGCGUCUGAUUAGCCAGUUGGCAGGGUAAGAGCCUACCAAAGCGACGAUCAGUAGCCGAUCUGAGAGGAUGAACGGCCACAUUGAGACUGAGACACGGCCCAAACUCCUACGGGAGGCAGCAGUGGGGGAUAUUGCACAAUGGGGGGAACCCUGAUGCAGCGACGCCGCGUGAGUGAAGAAGUAUUUCGGUAUGUAAAGCUCUAUCAGCAGGGAAGAUAAUGACAGUACCUGAAUAAGAAGCCCCGGCUAACUACGUG